rnacentral:rRNA from 1 species
UACGAAGGGGGCUAGCGUUGUUCGGAAUCACUGGGCGUAAAGCGCACGUAGGCGGAUUUUUAAGUCAGGGGUGAAAUCCCGAGGCUCAACCUCGGAACUGCCUUUGAUACUGGGGAUCUGGAGUCCGGGAGAGGUGAGCGGAACUGCGAGUGUAGAGGUGAAAUUCGUAGAUAUUCGCAAGAACACCAGUGGCGAAGGCGG